AAUGUUUUAUCUUCAUAAUGUCUUGGAUGGUUAAUAUUUCAAGGAUGAUUUUUUAAAAAAUUUUUAAAAAUUUUAAUAACUUUUCAAAUGUUUCGGCUUAUAUUUCAAAAUUUUUCAAUUUCACUGAAUACUUUCAAUUUCACAAUUAAAUUCAAAAAGUUUUAAAGAAAAUUUAGUCAAGAUUUGGAGUUUAAUUAAUCAACAUUUGAUGAUUUUCGAAGAAUGCUGAACGAUGUUUCUAAAACCCAAUGUAACUCCCAAGAAAAUGUGUGAACCCUUUAAGAUGGAGUGUUAACAUUUGACGUCGUGCCUGAGGACGGUUACACGAAGUAGCCGAAACAGUCUGUAGCACCGAUUUUAUAAAUAAAUAAAUUGUCAUCGUUCAAUGCAAA